rnacentral:rRNA from 1 species
UACAGAGGGGGCAAGCGUUGUUCGGAAUUACUGGGCGUAAAGGGCGCGUAGGCGGCCCGCUAAGUCGAACGUGAAAUCCCCGAGCUCAACUCGGGAACUGCGUCCGAUACUGGUGGGCUUGAAUCCGGGAGAGGGAUGCGGAAUUCCAGGUGUAGCGGUGAAAUGCGUAGAUAUCUGGAGGGACACCGGUGGCGAAGGCGGCAUCCUGGACCGGCAUUGACGCUGAGGCGCGAAAGCUAGGGGAGCAAACGGG